ACCAUUUCAUUUUUAGUACUAUUUUAUUUCAGGACUGAUCUCAUAUACAGAGUACCUCUUUUUGCUGACAAUCCUCACAAAACCACAAACUGGAUUUCAUAUUGCUUUUAAAAUGUUGGAUGCAGAUGGCAAUGAACAAGUU